GACGAACGCUGGCGGCGUGCUUAACACAUGCAAGUCGAACGGAAAGGCCCUGCUUUUGUGGGGUGCUCGAGUGGCGAACGGGUGAGUAACACGUGAGUAACCUACCCUUGACUUUGGGAUAACUUCAGGAAACUGGGGCUAAUACCGGAUAGGAGCUCCUGCUGCAUGGUGGGGGUUGGAAAGUUUCGGCGGUUGGGGAUGGACUCGCGGCUUAUCAGCUUGUUGGUGGGGUAGUGGCUUACCAAGGCUUUGACGGGUAGCCGGCCUGAGAGGGUGACCGGCCACAUUGGGACUGAGAUACGGCCCAGACUCCUACGGGAGGCAGCAGUGGGGAAUAUUGCACAAUGGGCGGAAGCCUGAUGCAGCAACGCCGCGUGCGGGAUGACGGCCUUCGGGUUGUAAACCGCUUUCGCCUGUGACGAAGCGUGAGUGACGGUAAUGGGUAAAGAAGCACCGGCUAACUACGU
rnacentral:rRNA from 1 species